rnacentral:rRNA from 1 species
ACUAGAGUAGCACUCGCAUAUCAAUAAGCGGAGGAAAAGAAACUAACAAGGAUUCCCCUAGUAACGGCAAGUGAAGCGGGAAGAGCUCAAAUUUGAAAUCUUAAAGGGUUUCCCUUUACGAAUUGUAGUUUAAAGAAGUGUUUUCUGUUGAGGUUUUGGUAAAAGUUCUUUGGAAUAGGACAUCAUAGAGGGUGAGAAUCCCGUAUUUGACCUUUACUUUCAACUUUGUGAUACACUUUCAAAGAGUCGGAUUGUUUGGGAAUGCAGUCCAAAAUGGGUGGUAAAUUUCAUCUAAAGCUAAAUAUUGGCGAGAGACCGAUAGCGAACAAGUACCGUGAGGGAAAGAUGAAAAGAACUUUGAAAAGAGAGUUAAACAGUACGUGAAAUUGUCAAAAGGGAAGCGUUUGACACCAGUGUUGUUUUUCUGAAAAUCAAUUAAAGAACUGUUUAUGCUAAGUUGUUUAGACUUUAUCAGCUAACUGUUUAGUUUUGAGCUUUUCUUUAAUGCACUUUUCAGUUAACAAGUCAACAUCAAUUUCUUUUGCUGUAAAAAAGCUUGAGGAAGGUGGCUUGAGAUUCGUCUUAAGUGUUUAUAGCCUCUUGCCUAUGCAGUCGGAGAGAUUGAGGUCUGCAGCGUAGAUCCUUCGGGGCUAAAUGCAUUUGUGCUAAGUUAUAGCAUUUUAUAGACAACUUGUUGACUAUGAUUUGUCUUGUAGCUUACUCGCUUAUGUUAUUUUACCUACGCUUAGGAUGUUGAACUACUGAGACAUAGA